rnacentral:lncRNA from 1 species
GUGACGGUUAUUCCUCCUGCGCGGGAGCUUUGGGGACGCACUUCUGGAUGCCUAGGCCUCUUCCGUUUGCCUCUGGGACUGGCGAUACUCGAGAUGUCUUGAGGCCUUCCAGACCUUGCUCCACCUCCACCACCAGGUCUCCAGUCCUGAGCCACAUGCUGCCAUUUUUGUCUCAGAAGCACCCCUCUUCCAGGUGGAAGAUUGAAGGUCUGAAGAGUGGGAAGUCCCAGGAACAGGCAAUUCCAGGAAGAUAUGAGGAAAAUCAAGAAAGAGAAGGAAACUGAAGCUAGUGGGAAGUGCUUCAAGUUGGAGAUGAUGCUGAGAUGGCCAAAAAUUUUCAAACCUGAGUGAAUGAAUGAAUAAACGGACCUGGGAAUUGAUCAACAAUGGCUGCUGCAUCGCGUAAAGAGAGACGACCAGGUACGGUAUGCCUCCUGAUGGGAAAAAUGCCACCAGUCAUGAAGUAGUCUUUCCCCCUCAUCCCCUGAGAAAAUCAAACCGGAAUUUGAUUAAGCCUCUAGAUCCAACUUCCAUGCAUAGGAAAAUCUGAGGGCAGAAUUAUCUAAGUCGCAGUUACCAUUAGAGCACAAAAGACAAAAUCCAGCAUGUGAAAGGUCUCCAGAAGAAAGGCGUUGAAUAGAGGGCAAGAGUGUGUGCAUGAAGGGGAGUCUAUCAUCACAGACACUCAGGAGACAGACAUAUUGACCAAACACAAUGUGUGGGUCACAUUGCAUCCUGAUUCAAAUGAACUACUAAAAACUCUGUAGCACCUGGGAGGCAAUUAGAAAUUUGAACACUGAGUAUGUAUUACUAUUUGAUAAAUAAUGAGUAAGACAAAUUUCAAUAUAACACUAAUAAGGAAUUAUUAAGUAUGUGAUAAUGGCAUUGCAGCUAUAUCAGAAAAGAUAAAGUGUCUUUGAAAUUCAGACUUGCACUGGUUGUCUAUAAUAAAAACCAUAAAACGUCAGUGGCAUACGACAGGAAGACUUGAUUGUUCACAACUCUGGGCCGUCUGGCUAGGUGGCUCUAUUGAUCUUGGCUAUAUGUGGCUGAGCAAUUCUCCUUUCUGCCUGAAUUGCUUACACAGGUGUCAGCUGGCUGUCAACUGAUCUAGGAUGGUCUUGGAGGGACAACGAGGGCAACCCCAUGUCUCUUCUUUAGCAGGCCAGCCCAGACAUGCUUUCAUGGCUGAAUAGGAGCCAGCCUGGUCAUGGGAGCAAUUUUCAAGCAAGUCUCUGCUUGAAUGUCACAUUUACUAACAUCCUGUUGGCCAAGGUGCAUCCCAUGGCUGAGCCCAGUGUCCAAGUGAAAGGGCACCAGGAAGUUCCCUGCAGCGCUGUGGGUACUGGAAGAAUGGGCGCCAUCUUCAUGACAGCAGCAUGCUAAGUUACAGAAAGUGAGCGGCGUUCUAGACAAAGCAAGCUCAUCUGUGAAUGGAUCAUGGCGGAAACCUGACCACAGUAUGUUGGGAUUUAUGUGUUUGACAUUUUCUAUAAUAGAAAGGCAGAUCAAAAAUAAGGCUCCAGUGCCUCCACUCAGGAAAGCUCAAGUAGGUUUUCUUGAGAAUUUUUAGUGGAUACCCUGUUUUGCAAUGUUCUUUUCUUUUUCUAAUGAGGCUGAACCAGAUUGUAAUGCCAUGAGGCUUCUACAUGGAGAGCUGGACGUUGGUGAGGAUUGGGUGGAGAAGGCCGGGUGGAGGCUGGGCCUGGGAGAAGAGCAGCAGAUUCCCAAACGUACUGGUAUUGGUGCAUACUCUGAGAAAGACAUCUCAGAGCACUUCUGCCGUCAGUUACGAAGUUUCAAUAUAAGAAUUCUUUCU